CUUACAGAGAUGCAGUUUGUCGAAUGUUUACAUAACGUUUGAGCAAAAGACGUUAUAGCUGAGGACAGUAAAGCACAGUACUCGCUUAACCGCAGUGUGUUAGAGUGCAGGUUUAAUGCGAGUGGGGCCGGGCUAACUGAGCUAAGGUCGGCGAGCCACUGUAGCAGAGGACGCCAUUGCUGAUCUUGGACUGUUUGGAGUUUCCGCACGAGGACGUAACGAGGACUUCGCCUCCGCUGCCGUUUGGAUUCAUCUUUUCAUCGCUUCUUGCUCUGUUUCUUCUGGACGGACGCUGAACUAUUAAGAUGCCUGGAAUGAAGUCUGGGGAAUGUGAAAGGUGCUACCCCCAAUCCAACGUCACCUGCACCUGUGCCACAGCUCCAGCCAGGAACAGAAAUGAGAAGCAUGUUACCCAUAUGACAGCAGGCGGGCCCCCAGCGGCUCGGGCUUCAGGUGUGAUUUCAAAAGGUAAAAGUGUUCUGGCACAAGGCUUUGAGAAAGGCACCAGCUCUGCUUUGUCGGCCCAGUGCAGGGAGGCGUGGAGCAACCUGAGGAAGAGUGGCUCGCUCUGACAUGCACCUUCCUCUGGGAGACCCUGACCAGAAUCCCAUCAAACGAGAAGCGUAGAGUUUCCAAACUUUGUUGUGCCUUUCAUGUCUUUGCUCUCUUUUUUGUCUCAGACUUAAGUUGACUGUCCUGUGCAAAACAACAUCACUUUUAGGGAGGAAGGAGAGUUUUCUCUCUUCCCCAGGUUAGAUCAAAACAGCACCUGGUUAUGAAAAGCAUCUCCACUGGUAGACGGGUUGAUGAUCAGUAAAUGCAGACAUAUUAUCCCCA